ACGGUGCGUGUGUCCUAUACAUGCAGUCGAGCACAGAUGAACGGAGCUUGCUCCCUGAUGUUAGCGGCGGACGGGUGAGUAACACGUGGGUAACCUGCCUGUAAGACUGGGAUAACUCCGGGAAACCGGGGCUAAUACCGGAUGGUUGUUUGAACCGCAUGGUUCAAACAUAAAAGGUGGCUUCGGCUACCACUUACAGAUGGACCCGCGGCGCAUUAGCUAGUUGGUGAGGUAACGGCUCACCAAGGCAACGAUGCGUAGCCGACCUGAGAGGGUGAUCGGCCACACUGGGACUGAGACACGGCCCAGACUCCUACGGGAGGCAGCAGUAGGGAAUCUUCCGCAAUGGACGAAAGUCUGACGGAGCAACGCCGCGUGAGUGAUGAAGGUUUUCGGAUCGUAAAGCUCUGUUGUUAGGGAAGAACAAGUACCGUUCGAAUAGGGCGGUACCUUGACGGUACCUAACCAGAAAGCCACGGCUAACUACGUGCCAGCAGCCGCGGUAAUACGUAGGUGGCAAGCGUUGUCCGGAAUUAUUGGGCGUAAAGGGCUCGCAGGCGGUUUCUUAAGUCUGAUGUGAAAGCCCCCGGCUCAACCGGGGAGGGUCAUUGGAAACUGGGGAACUUGAGUGCAGAAGAGGAGAGUGGAAUUCCACGUGUAGCGGUGAAAUGCGUAGAGAUGUGGAGGAACACCAGUGGCGAAGGCGACUCCUGGUCUGUAACUGACGCUGAGGAGCGAAAGCGUGGGGAGCGAACAGGAUUAGAUACCCUGGUAGUCCACGCCGUAAACGAUGAGUGCUAAGUGUUAGGGGGUUUCCGCCCCUUAGUGCUGCAGCUAACGCAUUAAGCACUCCGCCUGGGGAGUACGGUCGCAAGACUGAAACUCAAAGGAAUUGACGGGGGCCCGCACAAGCGGUGGAGCAUGUGGUUUAAUUCGAAGCAACGCGAAGAACCUUACCAGGUCUUGACAUCCUCUGACAAUCCUAGAGAUAGGACGUCCCCUUCGGGGGCAGAGUGACAGGUGGUGCAUGGUUGUCGUCAGCUCGUGUCGUGAGAUGUUGGGUUAAGUCCCGCAACGAGCGCAACCCUUGAUCUUAGUUGCCAGCAUUCAGUUGGGCACUCUAAGGUGACUGCCGGUGACAAACCGGAGGAAGGUGGGGAUGACGUCAAAUCAUCAUGCCCCUUAUGACCUGGGCUACACACGUGCUACAAUGGACAGAACAAAGGGCAGCGAAACCGCGAGGUUAAGCCAAUCCCACAAAUCUGUUCUCAGUUCGGAUCGCAGUCUGCAACUCGACUGCGUGAAGCUGGAAUCGCUCACCCAAAGAUCAGCAUGCCGCGGUACACGGCAUCGUUGGCUGCUGGCGGGCCUUGUACACACCGCCCGUCACACCAGAUGGUAGAAAACCGAGCAGCUUAGGUCGGUG
rnacentral:rRNA from 1 species